GAGAAGUAAAAUUGGGAUGGAGGCACUCAGAAAGCUCAGAGGGGUUUUCUAUGUGUGCCUCACCAUCCCUGAUGUAAUGCAUGGCAGUACAGGAGAAAACUAGCAGGGAUAGCAGCAGCUGUUGAAAAACUAAGCACGAAUGCUGGAAAUGAGCCCCAUGACUGCUGACUGUAUGUUCAUCACAAUGGGAGGCACCGCGUACGCAACAAGAGACAUCAUCCGUCUGUAUUGGCAGGCAAAAAUUGAUAGCCCAAUGAGGAAGGAGGUGCCUAUCUCACUAUUAAGAUCAAAAUGAAGGAUUACUGCUUAAAAGACUGCCGACAAAGGCUAUAAUUCAAGAAGCUUUCAAGAGAGAAAUAUCUUUUUUGGCUACGUACAAACCAUUUGUGAAAGGAGAUGAGAGUGCCAAAAUAAAGGAGGCAGACAAAA